GGAGAUUUAGCUCAGUGGUAGAGUACUUGCCUAGCAAGCACAAGGCCCUGGGUUCGGUCCCCAGCUCCG
rnacentral:tRNA from 1 species